UGGUCAAGUUAUUAAGGGUGCAGGGCGGAUGCCUUGGCACUAGGAGCCGAUGAAGGACGUGAUAAGCUGCGAUAAGCUUCGGGGAGUUGCACGUAAACUUUGAUCCGAAGAUUUCCGAAUGAGGAAACUCACUUAGAGUAAUGUCUAAGUAUCAUUAAGUGAAUACAUAGCUUAAUGAGGGGAACUCAGGGAACUGAAACAUCUAAGUACCUGAAGGAAGAGAAAGAAAUUCGAUUCCGUAAGUAGCGGCGAGCGAACGCGGAUUAGCCCAAACCAAUAAAGUUUUCUUUAUUGGGGUUGCGGACAUAUCAUAACGAAGAGGUAUCGUAAUUGAAGAGGUUUGGAAAGACCCACCACAGAAGGUAAUAGUCCUGUAUGUUAAACGAGAAGACUUCAGAUAUGAUCCAGAGUACCACGGGACACGUGAAACCCUGUGGGAAGCAGGAGGGACCACCCUCCAAGGCUAAAUACUACCUAGUGACCGAUAGCGUAUAGUACCGUGAGGGAAAGGUGAAAAGAACCCCGGGAGGGGAGUGAAAUAGAACCUGAAACCCUGCACUUACAAGCUGUGGAAGCACAUUUCUUGUGUGACCGCGUACUUUUUGUAGAACGGGCCAACGAGUUACGUUAAGUAGCAAGGUUAAGCACUUAAGGUGCGGAGCCGUAGCGAAAGCGAGUUUUAACUGAGCGUUCAGUUACUUGACGUAGACCCGAAACCGGGCGACCUACCCAUGAGCAGGAUGAAGCGAAAGUAAAAUUUCGUGGAGGUCCGAACCCACGAGCGUUGAAAAGCUCGGGGAUGACUUGUGGGUAGCGGUGAAAUUCCAAUCGAGCCCGGAGAUAGCUGGUUCUCCCCGAAAUAGCUUUAGGGCUAGCCUCAAGGUGAGAGAUACGGAGGUAGAGCACUGAAUGUCCUAGGGGGUAUUGCACCUACCGAAGACUAUCAAACUCCGAAUGCCGUCAUCUUAUACUUGGGAGUCAGACUGUGGGUGAUAAGAUUCAUAGUCGAAAGGGCAACAGCCCAGAUCGUCAGCUAAGGUCCCUAAAUGUAAGUUAAGUGGUAAAGGAUGUGGGAUUGCACAGACAACCAGGAUGUUGGCUUAGAAGCAGCCACUCAUUCAAAGAGUGCGUAAUAGCUCACUGGUCGAGUGAUCCUGCGCCGAAGAUUUCCGGGGCUAAAACUUACUACCGAAGCUACGGCAUCAGUAAUGAUGGGUAGGGGAGCUUCCCAUACGGGUUGAAGCAUGACCGUAAGGACAUGUGGACAGUAUGGGAGUGAGAAUGUUGGCAUGAGUAGCGAGAUGUGGGUGAGAAUCCCACAGGCCGUAAACCCAAGGU
rnacentral:rRNA from 1 species